rnacentral:piRNA from 5 species
GUUUCCGUAGUGUAGUGGUCAUCACGUUCGCC